UACAGAGGUCUCGAGCGUUAGGCGGAAUCACUGGGCUUAAAGCGUGUGUAGGUGGAUCGUUAAGUACCUUGUGAAAUCCCACGGCUUAACCGUGGAACUGCUUGGUAUACUGGCGGUCUUGAGUCAGCUAGGGGCUACCGGAACAAAUGGUGGAGCGGUGAAAUGCGUAGAUAUCAUUUGGAACGCCAAUGGUGAAAACAGGUAGCUGGGGCUGUGCUGACGCUGAGACGCGAAAGCGUGGGGAGCAAACAGG
rnacentral:rRNA from 1 species